AAAAAAGCAAGAGGCACCACCAAAUCCCCACCGAUGUCACCACCCACUGCGUGCCCCUUCUUAUCCACAACACGUCGCCAUUCCUCAUCACCCAAGCGCCGCUCCGCCUCCAUCUUCCUCCUGCUGCCUGACCACCCAUCGUUGCUCCUCCUCCUCUUCUCCUCUUCUCCAUCCGCCUCACACCCAAGUGUUGCUUUCCUGUUCUUGGCCGCGGUGGCUGGCCUGAGCCACAUCCCAGCUGACAGCGUCGGCGUGCUUUCUGGCUACGGCUGGGGCGUUGGUGGCCUGCUCAUCGGCGCACUCGGGCCGGGGCGGAGCCCCCUUCCUUGCAGUGGUGAUGGAGCCCCUCCUCCCGGAGGGUGGCUGGGGGCAACCGAGGUUGCGGGGCAGGUGUGCAGUGGCUCGGUUGCGCCAGAUCUGGCGGCUGGCCAGCACGCGCGGGGGGCGGUCUGGUGGUGGUGUUCGUCUGCCGGUGGCCACGGAUGUGGGAGUGCCGAAGCUGCCUCCGGUGAAAGCCCCUGGGCCCCGGUUUUCUCUUCCAUGAGCUGGUCUCUGUAUCAGCAAUGGGCAUCAAUUUUCUCUGUAUCUUUAGUUCGGCUCUCUCUCCUUCUUUAGGAUUAUUAGCUCAAAUGGCAAUUAAGACAUUUCUUUCUAUUAGGCUCGGUGCUUUUCUUUGGAUUCAUGUGCAUCUCCUCUUUGCUCAUUUUCAAUUGGUGACGCAUAUAGUAGAUGCGGCAGCCAGCUUUCUUGAUUUUUCUCUAGGGUAAACAUGAACAUCUCAUCCGCUUUUUGUUGGCUUGUUGAUCUUGUAAUGCAUGAAAUAAGUUGGUUGGAUUUUAUGUAAUAGAGCAGGUAGGACUAUUAAUUGGAAUCUGAAAUUUUAGCACAGGCACAAGACUUGGUUCCUAAGGCAGGAAGAGGAGGAGCUCGGGCGCGCUGGUGAGAGGAGCCGAAGUGGAACGGUGGUGCCGGGUGAUGCGGUCGCCGGCGUCGGCCGGCAGCGGAUUGAGCAUCACGUGGGCCGCGAACUUCUUUGUAAACCACAGGGGCUUCUUUGUAAAAAAGCGUGACGGACGACAGAAAUCCAACCAUCCGGAGCUGUCGCCGCCGCGAAGAGCGCCGCCCCACCGCGCCGGAAAGGAAGCAUGUGGAUAAGAUAGAACAAAGGGUCGCGGACCGAAUUCUUACAAACGUAGGGUUCUUUUUUGUAAAAAUGAAUCGUUAUCUCAGAUCCACUUAAACAGGGACUGCGGGUUGAAUUCUCACAAGCAGAGGGGCUUUUCUGGAAAAGUGCCGACGACGGACGGGCAGAAGCACUCCGUGCUUUAUUAGUAGGGAAAGAUACAUGUUUGUCUGCUAGAAAUGGUGCAACAUUCUCAUACAUGUUUAUAUGCUAAUAUUCACAAUUUCACAUACUGAUAUUGCCAUCUGUCUUGUUCCCAUUUGUACCAUGGAGAAAAAUAACUGUUGUCCCCAUUGUUUGGUAUACUUCUUUGUUCAUCAGAUGCUAG
rnacentral:rRNA from 1 species